AUUGAACGCUGGCGGCAUGCCUUACACAUGCAAGUCGAACGGCAGCACGGGUGCUUGCACCUGGUGGCGAGUGGCGAACGGGUGAGUAAUACAUCGGAACAUGUCCUGUAGUGGGGGAUAGCCCGGCGAAAGCCGGAUUAAUACCGCAUACGAUCCACGGAUGAAAGCGGGGGACCUUCGGGCCUCGCGCUAUAGGGUUGGCCGAUGGCUGAUUAGUUAGUUGGUGGGGUAAAGGCCUACCAAGGCGACGAUCAGUAGCUGGUCUGAGAGGACGACCAGCCACACUGGGACUGAGACACGGCCCAGACUCCUACGGGAGGCAGCAGUGGGGAAUUUUGGACAAUGAGCGAAAGCCUGAUCCAGCAAUGCCGCGUGUGUGAAGAAGGCCUUCGGGUUGUAAAGCACUUUUGUCCGGAAAGAAAUCCUUGACUCUAAUACAGUCGGGGGAUGACGGUACCGGAAGAAUAAGCACCGGCUAACUACGUG
rnacentral:rRNA from 1 species